AUUGAACGCUGGCGGCAGGCCUAACACAUGCAAGUCGAAUGGUAACAGGAAGCAGCUUGCUGCUUCGCUGACGAGUGGCGGACGGGUGAGUAAUGUCUGGGAAGCUGCCUGAUGGAGGGGGAUAACUACUGGAAACGGUAGCUAAUACCGCAUAAUGUCGCAAGACCAAAGAGGGGGACCUUCGGGCCUCUUGCCAUCGGAUGUGCCCAGAUGGGAUUAGCUUGUUGGUGGGGUAACGGCUCACCAAGGCGACGAUCCCUAGCUGGUCUGAGAGGAUGACCAGCCACACUGGAACUGAGACACGGUCCAGACUCCUACGGGAGGCAGCAGUGGGGAAUAUUGCACAAUGGGCGCAAGCCUGAUGCAGCCAUGCCGCGUGUAUGAAGAAGGCCUUCGGGUUGUAAAGUACUUUCAGCGGGGAGGAAGGGAGUAAAGUUAAUACCUUUGCUCAUUGACGUUACCCGCAGAAGAAGCACCGGCUAACUCCGUG
rnacentral:rRNA from 1 species